UACGUAGGGUGCGAGCGUUAAUCGGAAUUACUGGGCGUAAAGCGUGCGCAGGCGGUAAGUUAAGUCUGAUGUGAAAGCCCCGGGCUCAACCUGGGAAUGGCAUUGAAAACUGGCUUGCUGGAGUGUGGCAGAGGGGGGUGGAAUUCCGCGUGUAGCAGUGAAAUGCGUAGAGAUGCGGAGGAACACCGAUGGCGAAGGCAGCCCCCUGGGCCAACACUGACGCUCAGGCACGAAAGCGUGGGGAGCAAACAGG
rnacentral:rRNA from 1 species